CAAAUCUGUAAAUGUAAUUUGACCUGCUGGAGUGGAGGACACUUUCAUUGCCCAAGGACAGACAUGGAGGGACACCUGAAGGCUUGCCAAGAAACCUUUCCCAGUCAAUAAGUCCUGGACAGUGGAAAGAGAACACUGGUUUUGAAAUAGAGGGGUUUCCAAGACAGCUGUACAGAAAUGACUGUGGCAUCUUCAUAUUGAUGGUGGACAUGCCAGUUCUGGAAAGUGGUGGUGUGUCAUGUUAAU